UACGAAGGGGGCUAGCGUUGCUCGGAAUCACUGGGCGUAAAGGGCGCGUAGGCGGCGUUUUAAGUCGGGGGUGAAAGCCCGUGGCUCAACCACAGAAUGGCCUUCGAUACUGGGACGCUUGAGUCUGGUAGAGGUUGGUGGAACUGCGAGUGUAGAGGUGAAAUUCGUAGAUAUUCGCAAGAACACCGGUGGCGAAGGCGGCCAACUGGACCAGCACUGACGCUGAGGCGCGAAAGCGUGGGGAGCAAACAGG
rnacentral:rRNA from 1 species